ACGGAAGGCAGCAGUGGGGAAUAUUGCACAAUGGGCGCAAGCCUGAUGCAGCAACGCCGCGUGAGGGAAGACGGUUUUCGGAUUGUAAACCUCUGUUCUUAGUGACGAAGAAGUGACGGUACCACUUGAAUAAGCUCCGGCUAACUACGUGCCAGCAGCCGCGGUAAUACGUAGGGAGCAAGCGUUAUCCGGAUUUACUGGGUGUAAAGGGCGUGUAGGCGGGACAUCAAGUCAGAUGUGAAAGCACGAGGCUCAACUUCGUGUCUGCAUUUGAAACUGACGUUCUUGAGUGUUGGAGAGGCUAACGGAACUCCUAGUGUAGCGGUGAAAUGCGUAGAUAUUAGGAAGAACACCAGUGGCGAAGGCGGUUAGCUGGACAAUAACUGACGCUGAGGCGCGAAAGCGUGGGUAGCAAACAGGAUUAGAUACCCUGGUA
rnacentral:rRNA from 1 species